UAUAUAUUUGCACACACUUGAGUGUGCACCCACAAGCCGCCCGCACACACAUACACAUACGCACACACACACACACACACACACAAAAUAUAAAUACCGGCAGGCACACACACAUGCACAUAGCGUUCGUGUGUGUGCAGUGUGUUUGUACAUGAGAUCCUCUAUGGCUGGACUCCACACCAUGCCGGUCAGUGGUUGACCCAUAUGUAAAGUAGCAGCUAUUUUGGGCGACUGCUGGGCUAUCAGACAAGUGGAGGCACUCUCUGUUGGCAAAGGGCAGAUGCUGCAAAUAAUUCCUUGAUGGGUUCCUCUAAUUUCCUGUGACUUUGUCGGACGUUUUUUCUGCUGUUUCCGUGUUAUUUUCAGAGUUGUUUAUCUGUGCAUGUGUUACUUGAACGGCUGCCAUUGUCUUUGACCUCGCAUUGCGUUGGAUCUGUUUAAUUGCCUUUGUGUCGUUUUGUUUCUUUUCCCUUAUUUGCGGUGGCUGUUUUUUCUGUAUGGAGAUGGGUCACGUUUAUCUCUUUUGUUAUUUCUUUUUUUUGAGUCGCGACUUAAUGAGUUCUGCUAUUUAUAUAUAUUUUCGAGUUUUGCUACCAAAUAUGUUGCAGAUUUUCAUUGACUGCAUCUCAGUUGUGGAGCACAUUUAAACCACCACACUUUUUACCUUUAGUUUAGGUGAUCGCUGGAAGUUUGACGAUUUAUUUUUGUUUUUGUAAAUGUUCCGACCCGAAACCCACAUACAUUUAAACAGUUGGCAUAGUUUAAAAUAAAUCAAUAGUCUUCGUCCUUUUUAGGUGUUACUUUACUUCCUUUCCUUUUUUUACUUAGUUCAUAGUCGUCUAUUAAAACACACUUACAGAACCCAGGAAAUUAAUUGAAAGAAAAACACUUUUUCUACAAAAUAAUAAAAAGAGAAAUCAAAGUUAUCGAAGUUAUCGAAGUUAUCGAAUCCCUAUACGCAGGUUUUUGUCCGUUACAGUGUAGCCGUAGUAAACUGUCCUGGUAUUCCAUUAUGUGAGCCUAAAACAGGCCUUAUAGAUUGAAAUAUGUUGUAUUUUUGUAUUGCAGUAAUUUGCUCUCUGUUUACAUUUGGUAUGAUUUGAGAAACAUCUAAAUAUGUGUGUUUUAUAAGUCUCUAAUUCAAAUUAUGACCCUCCCCGGUGCCUCUUUUUCUAUAAGUAGAGCGUCUUUGUGCUUGAGUACAUGGCUCUGUGCUAUUUGGUCGAUGUUUCGGGGUGUUUGUUAAAUGUUAUGGAAUUCAAAAUAGACUGCCAUGUCAAGCCACUUUUGUCUGAACACUUUGCAAAUGGAGGAGGCAUAAAAAAAUUAUAACUGUGAUAAAUGACUCAACCUCUGAUGCAAGUCUCUGGCAAUUAUGACGUAAACGUAUAUAGGCUCUCGUCUUGAAAUGUUCCCUUCUCGGAGUGAGAUGUAACGAUGUGUAAAAGAACGUGUACAGCAGAACCUAGCGACCGUUGGCAUGGGAAGAUGCCCUCUUUAACGGAGAAAGCCAACGUCUCAUGCAGUGCCAUGAGAUUCACCUGUUCUUCACUGUAUCUAUGCUACAUGGACAUGCACUAUCAAUGGAUAUUCUCCAUGGACCAAAAGAAAAUGGAGCACUUUCUUUUUCUUUUUUUAAAAAGUUUUUUUUUUUUUUUUUGAUCUUUCUCAAUGUUGUGAUAUUGCGGAUGUCCCUUUUUAUUUGGCGUGUUCUAGGAUGACGUGAAUUGUGCGUUGUUUAGAGUUUUUUGUCGGUGUCUGUCUACCUCAGGACCAGAUCACAGUUCGACCUGGCAUCCAAUCAGGGUUGUUCUUCUUGCCAUGUGUGCAGUAAACCCCUCCUUCAUUACAGCUUUGUUACACUGUGUGUGUGCGUGUGUGUGGGAAGUGUUUUCUCUGUGUGUGGUUUUUUCAGGCACAACUCUGUAUGCGUCAGUGUUCCGUGGCAUGGUGAAAAAAAAGAAUAAAACAAAUUUUCUCUCUUUUAUGCACUCCGUCCCUCUCUCGCCUGUUUCUCGUGGGCCAAACGUCUCCCAUGACUCAUCUAAAAAAUCCCUCAUUAAAAAAAAGUCGAAUCACACAGAAAAAACUGCCACUUUUUCAAGCAGCAUUUAAUAUAACACUUAAAUGACUUUCUCUAGGGUUAAAAUAAGUGAAAAGAAA
ensembl:lncRNA